GAUGAAGAACGUAGCGAAAUGCGAUAAGUAAUGCGAAUUGCAGAAUCCGUGAGUCAUCGAAUCUUUGAACGCACAUUGCGCCCAUUGGUAUACCGAAGGGCAUGCCUGUUCGAGCGUCAUUAUCACCCCUCAAGCCCCGGCUUGGUGUUGGGCUCUCGGUGGUCGUCUCCGACCACCCGUCUCAAAGAUAGUGACGGCGUCCCAGAGGGAACCGGUACGAGGAGCUUUCACGAGCAUGUACGCGGGACGACUCUGCGGGCGACGGUCUUAUUUACUUUAUAUACAAGUGUUGACCUCGGAUCAGCUAGGAAUACCCGCUGAACUUAAGCAUAUCAAUAAGCGGAGGA
rnacentral:misc_RNA from 1 species